GAAAGUCCUAUUCUGAGCUCGAGCUCAGAUGGACCUGUUAUCCCAGCCGUUGUCUGGCGCUAAGAUUCACAUCAGGAGAUGUAUUUUACUGCGUAUUCUGAGUAGUAUGAGAUGCUUUUCCACAUACUAGGGCCCACUCACCGACCGCAUUUAUUGGGACAUCCAUCAUCCAGCACUAGCCGGCUCAGAUGGACACUAGCGUCGUGGUCCACGGCUCAGCCGUUACACACCCAACGGUGGCUUCCAGCAAACAUUUUUUUAAUAUAUACAUGCACUGCAUUGACCGCACACACCCUUGCUCUGGAAGAUUCACUUUUCUUCCUCACAGCCUCAGGAAGUGCUGCCACCUAUCCCUUGCCCCGACUACCUCGACAAGGUGGUCACCUUCGCCUCGCGCGCGCCGAGCUCGCUCUACAAAUGCGUCAGGAAAGAUGUAAGUGCCCAUCUACCAUGAAGAACAAUCUUUUGGAGCUUGGAUCCCCACUCCGUGUCUGAAGUUAGAAUCCAUGCAGGUUGAGCUAUGCGGGUUCAUUUAGAUCCACGGACACGUACCUGCCCGAGCUGACUCGCGCAGGGCUGACGCAGCCGUACGUGCUGCAACCCCCCUUGCUAUGCACCCGUCGGCUCCCCUUCAGCAGAGAUACAGGCGAGACCACAACUUCGACCAUAGCAGCCAGGCGGAGAUUCAGCCAGCACAUGUGCGCAUGCAGCCACAGGUGCAGCAGCUGAGCCUCCCCCGUGCCGCGCCUCCACGCUGCUCCGCCGACAGCCAGCGCACGACGCUGCUCUUGGCCGGAACCAACUUCAUCCUCGUCCUGCCAACUAAUCCAACCCUAGUCCUGCAUGACAAAUCAGCAAACUGAUUACACAUCCUGGCCGAGAUUGUUCGUUUGUAGUGGAGCACAUAUACUUAACACAUUUCUUUCAUCAUACUUCUGCACAAUCAUGGAAAUUUCAAAACAUACUCGGAAAACAUUACAAUUAAACCUAUUUUUUGGGCAAAUGACUCCUGAAAAGCUCACCGGAUAUUCUUCACACAAAACGUAACUAUCACUAGUGCCUAAUCAUAAUUUGAACAAAUAAUUUUUUUACAAACACUUGAUCUCUGGCUAUGGUGAUCGGUCACAACUUUAUGUAUUUUGCAUAGUGCUACAGGGCCUAAGUUUAGAUGAAACACACUCGCUGCUGUCUAGCCGCUACAUACAUUCAGGAAAAGUGGAAAACCCAUGCCUUUGAACUAGUUUUGUCUUAGUAAGUUUAGACAUUUCCAAAAUCAGCAGCACUAAUUUAUAUGGUCAAUUACUUCGAACUUCUGUUCAUAAUAAGCAUCAAUUUUAUAAAAUCCAAGGGGCCCUACAGAUUGCAAUAAGCUGAAUAUUAACCGUAGACAUUUCGAAAAUUCAGCAGCACUAGUUUCCUAAAAUUCAGCGGCAGUAGUCUGUCAUAUUAAACCUACACAUUCCGAAAUUCAGCAGCAGUAGUUGUCCUCCCGUAGUCCUAGUCAAUUUAAUCCAAGGCUAAGGGUUUUACCUUCAAAAGCAUGCACACAAGUUCAUGAAAACCUGGGGACAAGCCAACAUUUGAAACUAAACCAGACAUGCCAAGCUGGAACACAGUUCGACUUAUUACAUUACCUAGCCACUGGCCAAUAUGCAGAGUUACGAAAAGCAUGUCAACACCUAAAAAUUAACCAUGGUUUAGAUUAUGCCGAAGCUAAAACAUGUCACCUACAGGCAUAUGCCUCAAUAGCAAAUAAGAUAAUUGAAAAGACAUCAUGAGCCCAUCAGCUCCUACCCAGUGCAUUCCCCAAACUGCAUUCUACUUGCCAGCCUUAGUUCCAUUGAUUUAUUAAAAUUAUUUUGCGGGUGCCCCUCAAACUGCAUUCUACUUGCAAGCCACAGUUCUUACAUUUGGCAGGCUUCCGAGGUUGCUUAGGGACAUCACCACAUCAGGGCAUGUAGUUUGCUUAUGCCCUUGUUUUCAGCAUAUCGUGCAAAACCUAGUCCUCUUGCUUAGACCUUCAUAUGGAGCCUUCUCCGUACUUGUCGUUGGCCAUCCCAUAUCUUUCUUUUUCGCUGGAGCCAGCAGUCCUUCCAACCUGUUGCUUGUCCUCGAAACCGAAUCAUUGUUAGUUAAAACAGCAGUAGCUGCUUUGGCGUUCAUGUUUUGUUCCGCCGAAACCAGCUCCAUGGGAGUCUGAUUCACCACAGCCCCCCUGUCUGCCAGUCUAUCCUCGAGGCCAAGACCAUCCCUAACUUCUGCAUAGGGUAACAUCACUGUCAAAUUCGACUUGAACAACUCCAUCAAUUGAUUGUAGGCUUCAAAACUAGUGUUGCCCAGCCUGACUAGUUCCAUUGCGUGCAUGUACAUCGUGAAGUUUCUGUACGAAAAAGGGUUGUUCUACAUACUGUCCUUCUGGUAUUGUAUCAGAUGAGGUGGCAGAAUGUCGCGAGCAUCCCUCGUCCAUGUCUUCACUAUAUGCUUAGCUGGUAUUUUUUAGCCCUAAUGAAACCAAGCAUCUCUUCAUUAUGUGCACGCUUUUCAUGAGCUUCUCAGAUAAAAAUUGUACUCCACUGUAUCUGAUUUACUAACAACAAAUCAGUGAGAGCAUCACCAGAAGCCUCGCCCAAGGAGUCGAAUGUAAUGCCGAGAACAGGUGUGAUCACAUUUUCAGCCGGUUUCUCUGCAAAACAUUUGACAGCCUUGUCGAACGCACUGAUUCGAUUUGGGCAUGGUGUCCUGAUUAGUGCAGCAGCACCAAGCCUCAGCCUGCAAAUACCAGGCGUAGGCAUGAUUUAUCCAAAUGCAUUGUACCAACUGCUCUGAAUCCACAAAGCUAUAGCUGACUGAUUUCUUUUCUGCAAUCCAAUUUUCUAUAAUAAAAUCUUUGCAUCUCUCAUAUCAAAUGGUUUCAUUUUAAUACAGUUUGCUAACUACUCUGAACCCAUACAUCUCUAGCUGCCUGAUUUCUUUAGUGUUGUCAAUUUUAUUUAAUAAAAUAAUUUCCAUCUGUGAUCACAUAAUUAAGCUUUUCAUUAUCUGACUGUCUGAUUUCCAUCUGUGAUCACAUAAUUUCCAUCUAGCAGUGUACUUAUUCCUCUGAACUCAGCAAACUGCAGCUGCCUGAUUUCUUUACCGCACUCAAUUUUUCUUUACUAAAAUCUUUGCAUCUCGCAUAUCAAUGAGUUACAACUGAAUGCAGUGCACAAACUACUCUGUUUUACUGAAAUCUUUCCUUAUCUGAUGACAUAAGGAAGUUUUUUCUUAUCUGAAUUUCAACUACGUGAAUGCAAUGGAGUUAACCCGCUAAACCUGGUAAAUUACAGCUGCCUGAUUUCAUUAGUGCUACCAAUUUUUCUCCACUAAUUUCUUUGCAUCUCUCAUAUCAGGAGGGUUCAGCUAAAUGCAUUGUACUAAAUACUCUGAAUCUAGAAAGAUAUAGUUGCCUGAUUUCUUUACUGAUGUAAAUUUUUCUUUACUAACAUAUUUGCAUCUCUGAUGACAUACGGAAGCUUUUCCACUGACCUCUUAUUCCAUCCGGGCG
rnacentral:lncRNA from 1 species